GAUCAACGCUGACAGAAUGCUUAACACAUGCAAGUCGAUGAUGGGAGCUAGCUUGCUAGAAGAAGUCAUGGCGGACGGGUGAGUAACGUGUAAAGAACUUACCAUAUAGACUGGGAUAACAGAGGGAAACUUCUGAUAAUACUGGAUAAGUUAGUAGUAGCAUUACAAAGUAAUGAAAGGUAGCAAUACGCUAUAUGAGAGCUUUGCAUCCUAUUAGCUAGUUGGUGGGGUAAAAGCCUACCAAGGCGAUGAUAGGUAGCCGGCCUGAGAGGGUGGACAGCCACAAGGGGACUGAGAUACGGCACUUACUACUACGGGAGGCAGCAGUGGGGAAUAUUGGACAAUGGAGGCAACUCUGAUCCAGCAAUUCUGUGUGUGUGAAGAAGGUUUUAGGACUGUAAAACACUUUUAGUAGGGAAGAAAGAAAUGACGGUACCUACAGAAGAAGCGACGGCUAAAUACGUG
rnacentral:rRNA from 1 species